GAUGAACGCUAGCGGCAGGCCUAAUACAUGCAAGUCGAACGGUGUAGCAAUACACAGUGGCGCACGGGUGCGUAACACGUAUGCAACCUACCUUACAUUGGGGGAUAGCCUUUCGAAAGGGAGAUUAAUACCGCAUAAGACAGUAACUAGGCAUCUAGUAGCUGUUAAAGAUUUAUAGAUGUAAGCUGGGCAUGCGUCCAAUUAGUUAGUUGGCGAGGUAAUGGCUCACCAAGACGAUGAUUGGUAGGGGAACUGAGAGGGCAAUCCCCCACACUGGCACUGAGAUACGGGCCAGACUCCUAUGGGAGGCAGCAGUAGGGAAUAUUGGGCAAUGGGCGCAAGCCUGAACCAGCCAUGCAGCGUGCAGGAAGAAGGCGUUAUGCGUUGUAAACUGCUUUUAUACAGGAAGAAACGACCCUUGCGAGGGGCAUUGACGGUACUGUAUGAAUAAGCACCGGCUAACUCCGUGCCAGCAGCCGCAGUAAGAC
rnacentral:rRNA from 1 species